rnacentral:rRNA from 1 species
UACGAAGGGGGCUAGCGUUGUUCGGAAUUACUGGGCGUAAAGCGCACGUAGGCGGGUCGUUAAGUCAGGGGUGAAAUCCCAGAGCUCAACUCUGGAACUGCCUUUGAUACUGGGUAUCUCGAGUAUGGAAGAGGUGAGUGGAAUUCCGAGUGUGAGAGGUGAAAUUCGUAGAUAUUCGGAGGAACACCAGUGGCGAAGGCGGCUCACUGGUC